rnacentral:lncRNA from 1 species
AAAUGAGAAAAUAUUUUAUGAAUGCAAAAUUGGGACAUAGAGUCUGACCAAGGUUUCCUAUGGGAGUUUCAGACAUGGUAAUUAGAAACCAGGAAGACUGAGAAGGAAUCAAAUUUGCAGCAGCUCAGUAAGUGGUAGACUGGGAACAAGAAGCCAGUUCUCUGGGCUCUUGAAGCAAGGCCCUGCCACGUUGUCUUUCCCCAGGAGAGGACGUUCAGAGCAGAGAAAGUCUCUGGGGGUUACAUGCAAGGGACUUGAAGUUGGGAAAAAGGCUUUGAAAAAAUGAAGGAGAAAGAUGAAAUGUAUUCCAGGUCAUAAGACAUUCAUUCCAGAGAGAGUCCUGCCCCACCUCUGAGAAGGAAGGAAUGUACACUCAAGAGAGAUCAAGAAGAAUCUAAACAAACAGGCCCUUCUGCGUUUUCCCACAAGAGAAAAUGAUCUAAUUAACAUUCGAUCAUAACUUUUUGUCCAAUUAUAUUUCUACACUGCUGUUCAUACUUUAUUUAACCUAGGCAUAAAAAUUGACAAUUUUUAUUGUAUUUUUGGCUCUUCAUUCUGAAGGCUUCCAUGUAUACAUGUUAAAUAAAUUUGUACACCUUUUCUCCAGGAAACUGGGGAGGGAAUCAUGUUCCAGCAGUGAAGAACAAAGGCAGUUUUUUGGGGAUUUACAUACGCCAUCUCCUACAAAGUUAAAAAAUUUUCUUUUCCUGAAAGACUACAAUCAAGAUACAAACAUGUACAAUGGGUGAAGUGGAUUAACAAGUUUGUGUCAUGUUAAUU